UGAGACAGACCAAAAUGAUAUGACUCUUAUUAUGAGACGGAAGGAGUAAUAUUUAGUUUAACCUUGAUAAAUGGUGAAUAAUUUUUGUUUUUAUCUUUUCAAAUGUUUAUACAAGUGAAUAAAGAAUCAAAGAUUAAAAAUGUUAGAAUUCAGGGACAUUUUGAGCUUCGAGCAUGGGUCAAAGUGGGCAGAAAAUGUGCACCGAGUGAUGUACUACGAGGCGUUCUGGCUCAAGUGGAUCCCAACACUCAAGACCAAAUGCUUACCCAAGGAGACGAUGAUGACGACCUGAAAUUAGUUGGAGUCCUGGAAGACAUAUUGAAGGAUAAGAAAUGUCUCAUUGUGUUGGAUGAUGUAUGGGAAUGGGACACACGACAUUUGAUUGAUAACUUGCCACAGGAGGAUGUACGAAUCUUGCUUACAAGCAGGUUCAGAAUUGAAGAAUCUCCAAAUCAAGUAGUAGUACGCUUGUUGAAUGAAGAAGAAAGUAAGAAAUUGCUUUGUGAAAAGGUGUUCGGUGAAGAGGAUUUCCCUCCUCACCUUAAGAAAUUGGGAGAGAAGAUUGCCAAAAAAUGUGAAGGUCUUCCACUUAUGAUAGUCACAGUUGCAGAGCUCCUAUCCGAAGUAGACAAGACCCGGGAAUUGGAAUACUGGACUGAGGUAGCCGAAAAACAACAUAAUUCAGUUUUUGUGGAUGCAUAUAAUCAAAUAUCAAAGGUAUUUUUCCCAAGCUAUGACUAUUUACCUCAAUAUUUCAAAAUGAUUUUUCUCUAUAUGGGAUCUUUCCCUCCAUAUUGUGAUAUUGAAAUAGGCGAUCUCAUUCGUCGAUUGAGAGCUGAAGGGUUUCUUGAAUCGAUUGGAGCAGGAACUUUGGAUGAUUCUAUAGUUAAAUGCUUUAAAAUUCUUUGUCAUUGGCAUAAUCUUAUUUUAUAUGAAGGAAAAAUAAAAUCUUGGUUCUCAAAGGGGGAGUUUCGGGUGCAUUCGUGUUGGCAAUACGUGUGUAAGAAAGAAGCUAGUAAGAUCAAGUUUGUGCAUGUUCUACAAAGUUGCGAUGAUGUUAUGAAAGGCCAGCGGCGGUUGUGUGCCCAUCAUAACACUUUAUUUGCCUUCAAACAAGUGUAUGAUUCAAUAAAAAGUAGUUGUGCAUCCACUGCCCGUUCUCUCCUUUGUUUGGGUCCUUACCACCAAUAUCCGGUGCCAAUACAUGAUAUGGAUUUCAAGUUGCUCAGGGUGUUAGACGCUCAUGAGGUCCGAUUUUACCGUAUCCCACUUGAUAUUAUGAAACUAGUUUCUCUAAAUUAUCUUGCCCUAACUUGCAAUGGAGAGAUCCCUGUUUCCAUAUCCAACCUUUUUCACCUUCAGUCAUUGACUAUCCAUCCACAUAUAAACAUUAAAAAGCGUGGGGCUCCGUUAUACAUGCCGAUGGUAAUAUGGGACAUGCCAGAGCUACAACAUAUUAGUAUCUUCGGAAGAGACCUACCAACCCCAAAGUCUGAUGCUGCGUUGGAAAAACUCUUUAGUCUUUUUGGUGUCAGUGCCAAGAGUUGCAUAAGAAAAAAUCUCAAGAAAAUCCCUAAUUUAAGGAUGUUAGAAAUUAUGAUGGAGUUGAAGCCUUAUGAUGAUGACGAUGAUAUCAACCCAUUGAGUGGCUUGGAAUACAUCUCAAAGGAACUCCACAAGUUGCAACUACUAUCAUAUAAAGUAAUGAACCCUGACAUGAGGUAUCAGUCUAUAGUUCCUCUUUCAAUGUUCCCAUCAAGUCUUGAAUUUUUGACGUUGAGUGGCUUAGGGUGUCCUUGGAAGCACAUGAAUGACAUUGGUUCGCUGCUACCAAAUCUUAAGAACCUCGAGUUAAAUCACUAUGCCUUUUGUGGCCCAGAGUGGAAUAUAGAAUCAGGGUGUUUUUUGACACUUAAUACACUUGUUAUCGAAGACACUGAUUUGAUGCAAUUGAGACCUCAACAUGGAAGCCUCCCAAAGCUUGAACUCCUAAGCAUAAGGCAUUGCUACAAAUUACAACAAGUCGAUUGGACUUGUGAUCCCUCAAUGGUCACAAAGCCUACAAUUGAAUUGGUUGAGUGCAGUCCUUCAGUUGUCGCUUUCUCUGAGAAAUUAAGACCUCACUUUAAAGUUCGUUGCCAUUCUUCUUUUUGAGAUGAGAAGUCGUAGCCAGAGCUUGGUUAACAGAUGAAGUUGCACCAAGCUUCCUUGCAAAACAUGAUCGGCUUCCGAAGAUUGGAAUGGAGAAGUGUUUUUGACUCCUCGUUGGAGGCCUUACUUCAACGUAGAACGUGAGUCAAUAUGAUAAUAAAUUUGCUUCAUAUUCUUCAGCCUGAGGUGCAAAUCCUUAUGUGAAGAAAGCUUGAACCAACUAUGGACAUUUUGAGCUUCGAGCAUGGGUCAAAGUGGGCAGAAAAUGUGCACCGAGUGAUGUACUACGAGGCGUUCUGGCUCAAGUGGAUCCCAACACUCAAGACCAAAUGCUUACCCAAGGAGACGAUGAUGACGACCUGAAAUUAGUUGGAGUCCUGGAAGACAUAUUGAAGGAUAAGAAAUGUCUCAUUGUGUUGGAUGAUGUAUGGGAAUGGGAUACAUGAUUCAUGGAUAACUUGCUACAAGAGAAUGUCAAAAUCUUGCUUACAAGCCGACAAAAGAUUAAAGUUUCCCCAUUUAAACGAGUACGCUCGUUGAAUGAAGAAGAAAGUAAGACAUUAUUUCGUGAGAAGCUAUUUGGUGAAGAGGGUUUCCCUCCUCACCUUGAAAAAUUGGGAGAGAAGAUUGCCGAAAAAUGUGAAGGUCUUCCACCUAUAAUAGUCACAGUAGCAGAUCUCCUAUCCAAAGAAGACAAGACACCAAAAUUUUGGACCGAGGUAGCCCAAAAACAACAUAAUCCAGUCUUCGUGAAUGCAUAUGAUCAAAUAUCAUAGGUAUUUUUCCCAAGCUAUGAAUACUUAGAUCAAUAUUUGAAAAUGUUCUUUCUCUAUCUGGGAGCUUACCUUCAUACAGUGAUAUCUACAGUCAGGAAUUCAAUCAUCAGAUAAAUGCGGAAGGAUUUUUUGAAUCAUAUAGCGUGGACACUCUCUUUGAUUAUAUAAAUGAAUGCUUGAAUGUACUUUCUCAUUGGUAUCAUCUUGUUCUACAUGAACGCAAUAUUACUUCCUGGUUUUCAGAGAACAAGUUGUGCGUGCAUUCUUGCUGACAGCACUUGUGUAAAAAAGAAGCUAGUAAGAUCAAGUUUUUGCUUGUUAUACAAAGUUGCGAUGAUGUUACAAAAGACCAGCGUCGGUUGUGUGCGCAUUGCAACACUUUAUUUGCCUUUGAACAAGUGUAUGAUGCAAUAAAAAGUGAUUGUGCGUCCACUGCCCGUUCUCUCCUUUGUUAUGGUCCUUACCACGAAUAUCCAGUUCAAAUACAUGCCAUGAAUUUUAAAUUGCUUAGGGUACUAAACGCUGUUCAUGUCCGACUUUACCAUAUCCCAGUUGAAAUUAUGAAACUAGUUUGUCUAAAGUUUCUUGCCCUAACAUGCAACAAAGAGCUCCCGGCUUCCAUAUCCAACCUUAUUCAACUUCAAUCCCUAAUUAUUGAGCAGCAUACGAACAUUAAAAAGCGUGGAGUUUUGUCAUACAUGCCGGUCGAAGUAUGGGACAUGCAGGAACUAGAACACAUUGAGGUAACCGGAAGAGACCUACCAACCCCUAAUUCUGAUGCUACUUUAGAAAAGCUCUCUUGUCUUUUUUAUGUGAAUGCAAAGAAUUGCACUAGAGAAAUUCUAAAAAGAGUCCCGAAUUUAAAGUAAUUAAAAAUCGUGAUGGAGUUGAAGCUUUGCGACGAUGACAAUGAUAUCAACUCACUGAGUGGCUUGGAAUAUAUCUCAACAGAACUCCAUAAUUUGGAGACGCUUAUCUAUUGUGUGCCUAACCAUGAGAUGAAGUAUGAGUGUAUGGUUCCUCUUUCAAUGUUCGCAUCAAGUUUGAAGAGGCUGGAGUUGGUUGGCUUAGGGUGUUCAUGGAAGCACUUGAAUGACAUUGGUUCGCGACUACCAAAUCUUGAGGAUCUCGCUUUACGCCAGUAUGCCUUUCAAGGCCCAGAGUGGUCAGUGGGAGAUAGGAUCAGAUUGUUUUUUGAAACUUAAGACACUUGUUAUUGGAGAUAAUGAUCUGGUGCGAUGGAUAGCUCAAUGUGGAAGCCUCCCAAUGCUUAACCUCCUAAGCAUACGACAUUGCUAUAAGUUACAACAACUCGAUUGGACGCGUGAGCCCUCAAUGGUCGCAAGGGCUACAAUCGAAUUAGUUGAGUGCAAUCCCUUAGUCGUCGCUUCUACCAAGCAAUUCC